rnacentral:rRNA from 1 species
UACGGGGGGGGCAAGCGUUGUUCGGAAUUACUGGGCGUAAAGGGCCAGUAGGCGGCCAACUAAGUCCGACGUGAAAUCCCCAGGCUUAACCUGGGAACUGCGUCGGAUACUGGAUGGCUUGAAUUCGGGAGAGGGAUGCAGAAUUCCUGGUGUAGCGGUGGAAUGCGCAGAUAUCAGGAGGAACACCGAUGGCGAAGGCAGCUCGCUGGGACGGUACUGACGCUGAGGCGCGAAAGCGUGGAGAGCAAACAGG